rnacentral:misc_RNA from 1 species
GACGAACCGGACAAACGUUAUUCGGAAUCAUUGGGCUUAAAGGGUGCGUAGGCGGCGCUGUAAGUCAGGUGUGAAAUCCCUCAGCUCAACUGAGGAAUUGCGCCCGAUACUGCAGUGCUCGAGGGAGACAGAGGUAAGCGGAACUGAUGGUGGAGCGGUGAAAUGCGUUGAUAUCAUCAGGAACACCAGUGGCGAAAGCGGCUUACUGGGUCUCUUCUGACGCUGAGGCACGAAAGCUAGGGUAGCGAACGGG